CGUACCAGGACGCUCGUCUGCC
rnacentral:miRNA from 1 species